AGAUGCUGGGUAGAGUAUCAUUUCGCGUUAUGGAUCAUCGUCGCACCUAUUAUAAUAACUCUGUUAAUAUCUAUCGCCUGCGUUUUUUUGGAUAAAAGUCCAGAGGGAGAAAAUAGGACAAGAGCUGGGAAAAUAUUUCGUUUCGUUAUUACCUUGAUACCGCUGUUCGGAGUGCACUAUGUACUGUUCCCGCCCACCAAAGCCCCAG